UGAGGUAAACCGGAGUAUAGAAAAAAUCUGUCAGGAAGGCAAAUGCAAAAAUUCCAGCAGAGAAAAAAUAACUCAAUUCCCUCCCUUGCUGUCCCAGAGGCAUGGAGAAGGAGAUAAAAACAGAGAUUGAGUGACAAGAUUCCUUUCCAUUGAACCCUUUUACAUUGGUGCCGAAGCCCAUGAAGGAGGAGGGAUGUGCCGUCGUAGAGUCCUCACCACUACCAUCCCCCCAAAUGAGCAGCCGCGGCCAUCUGGCGGGGGCGGAGGAACAUCCACAAGGGGAGGAGGAGCUACCUGCAGGCCGCUGCCAGGCGCAGAGAAGUUCCCUACCGGCCCCAAAAUGCGGAGGGGUUGGAAGAAUAGUCGCCGUCCGCGAGGGGAGGAGGGGCUCGCUGCCGACCGCCUGGAGAAUGUACGAUGCAAUAAGAUUCCAGUGACAAGCAAUUUCCUGACAACACUGAAUGCAAAGCUUCUGCACAACACAUCACACCCACACCCAAUCAUUUGAUGUUUAAUGUACAGUUAUGAGGAGUAGGACACGUUCUUGCGCAGCAUGGCACUAGAUGCAGUGCCACUGAUUUAAAGAGGAACUAUUAUGCUUUUUGCAUAAUCAGGAAUGCACUGCUCAGGAAGCCUCGGGAGCUGAAAUUUGGUUAUGGUGAGGGCCGUUACAUUUCUGACACAUGCUCUAAGAGGUUGACUAAUCACAACAGACAGGGCCAGCUGGCCAAUCAGAGCAGACUGGGCUUUUCGGAAGAGACAGGAGCUACAACAGAGUGUUUCAGACAGAUGGUGAAAAGAGGUGCUGUAGCAAUGUACAGUACGAGGAAAAGAAUGUGGUUUUUUUUUUACAUUAAAGCAUGUAAACCUAUUCUAGUA